AUAGCUUUAGGGCUAGCCUCAAGGUGAGAGAUACGGAGGUAGAGCACUGAAUGUCCUAGGGGGUAUUGCACCUACCGAAGACUAUCAAACUCCGAAUGCCGUCAUCUUAUACUUGGGAGUCAGACUGUGGGUGAUAAGAUUCAUAGUCGAAAGGGCAACAGCCCAGAUCGUCAGCUAAGGUCCCUAAAUGUAAGUUAAGUGGUAAAGGAUGUGGGAUUGCACAGACAACCAGGAUGUUGGCUUAGAAGCAGCCACUCAUUCAAAGAGUGCGUAAUAGCUCACUGGUCGAGUGAUCCGGCGCCGAAGAUUUCCGGGGCUAAAACUUACUACCGAAGCUACGGCAUCAGUAAUGAUGGGUAGGGGGGCUUCCCAUACGGGUUGAAGCAUGACCGUAAGGACAUGUGGACAGUAUGGGAGUGAGAAU
rnacentral:rRNA from 1 species